rnacentral:piRNA from 1 species
UGGCUCAUACUCUGAGGACAGUAUUGA